rnacentral:rRNA from 1 species
UCGCGACGGUGUGCGCAGAAGGGUCUGGGCUCGAGCCUGCCUGGAGCCGCCGCCGGUGCAGAUCUUGGUGGUAGUAGCAAAUACUCCAGCGAGGCCCUGGAGGACUGAUGUGGAGAAGGGUUUCGUGUGAACAGCCGUUGCACACGAUUCAGUCGACCCUAAGCCCUAGGAGAAAUCCGAUAUAAACGGCGAUGGGAAACACCCAUUGAUCGGGCGAAAGGGAAUCCGGUUCCUAUUCCGGAACCCGGCAGCGGAACCGUUGUUUGUCGGGCCCUCACAAGGGGUUCGUCAGGGCAACCUAAAAGGGCCCGGAGACGCCGUCGGGAGCCCCGGAAAGAGUUUUCUUUUCUGCAUGAGCGUUGGAGUUCCCUGGAAUCCUCUCGCAGGGAGAUAGGGUUUGGAACGCGAAGAGCUCGGCAGUUGCGGCGGUGCCCGGGAAUUCCCGACGGACCUUGAAAAUCCGGGAGAGGGCCCCGUGGAGUGUCGCGCCGGCUCGUACCCAUAUCCGCAGCAGGUCCCCAGGUGAAGAGCCUCUAGUC